rnacentral:rRNA from 1 species
AUUGAACGCUGGCGGCAUGCCUUACACAUGCAAGUCGAACGGUAACAGGUCUUCGGAUGCUGACGAGUGGCGAACGGGUGAGUAAUACAUCGGAACGUGCCUAGUAGUGGGGGAUAACUACUCGAAAGAGUGGCUAAUACCGCAUGAGAUCUACGGAUGAAAGCAGGGGAUCGCAAGACCUUGUGCUACUAGCGCAGCCGACGGCAGAUUAGGUAGUUGGUGGGAUAAAAGCUUACCAAGCCGACGAUCUGUAGCUGGUCUGAGAGGACGAUCAGCCACACUGGGACUGAGACACAGCUAAGACUCCUACGGGAGGCAGCAGUGGGGAAUUGUGGAGAAUGGGCGAAAGCCUGAUCCAGCAAUGCCGCGUGCAGGAUGAAGGCCUUCGGGUUGUAAACUGCUUUUGUACGGAACGAAAAGCCCCGGGUUAAUACCCUAGGGUCAUGACGGUACCGAAAGAAUAAGCACCGGCUAACUACGUGCCAGCCGCCGCAGUAA